CCGGGGCUCUUGUGCAGAGUGCACGGUGAAGGCUGCGAGGGUCUCACUCUGUUACCCAGGCUGGAGUGGUGCAAUGGCACAAUCUCAGCUCACUGCAACCCCUGCCACUGCAACCCUUGCCUCCAGGUUCAAGUGCUUCUCUUGCCUCAGCCUUCCAAGUAGCUGGGAUUACAGGCACCUGCCACCACACCUGGCUGAUUUUUGUAUUUUUAACAGAGACGGGGUUUCACCAUGUUGGCCAAGCUGGUCUCAAACUCCUGACCUCAAGUGAUCUGCCUGCCUCAGCCUCCCAAAAUGCUGGGAUUACAGGUGUAAGCCACCAUGCCCAGCCAGGUAUGCAUUUCAUAGUGUAUGAAUCAUACCUCAAAAUUUAUAAAAAUAAAAAAGGAUUUUAAAAAAUGAACAGCCCUUUAGGUAUGGGAGGAGGCGAGGAGUAAGAAAGGUGAAUGGACUCUGCAUUACCACUUGCCGAUCGCUAGAUGUUACCAUGUUACAGUGGAAGGAAUGCAAACAAUAAUUUUUCCCAUUUUUUUUUUUGUUAUGUCCACCAUGUAACCGGACACACAGAAUUUUUUUUUUUUUUUUUUUUUUUUUUUGAGACGAAGUCUCACUCUGUCGCCCAGGCUGGAGUGCAGUGGCGCAUCUCGGCUCACUGCAAGCUCCGUCUCCCACGUUCACGCCAUUCUCCUGCCUCAGCCUCCCGAGUAGCUGGGACUACAGGCGUCUGCCACCAUGCAGCUAAUUUUUUGUAUUUUUUUUUUUAGUAGAGAUGGGGUUUCACCGUGUUAGCCAGGAUGGUCACGAUCUCCUGACCUCGUGAUCCGCCUGCCUCGGCCUCCCAAAGUGCUGGGAUUACCGGCAUGAGCCACCAUUUCCGGCAACAGGCAGACUUUUAACACAUUCCUUACCUAAACUUUUAAAAGGGACAAAAGAUAUAUGCCUUUGGUUUGGGAGAUGACGAAACAUAUGCUUUAAUGACUAUUGGGUUGGAAUCUUCUUGAGAGAGGAUCCUUCUUAGCCUAGACUAGAGUCUUCAAAAGCCCACAGUGCUUCGUAAAGUUUCAUACGUGGAAGAGAGAAGGAUGUUCCACUGGAAAAGCAGAAUUGCAGCUGAGCUGUCCUGAAAUGCCCAGCACUCUGUGGAGACGCGGAGGAGGUUUCCUGGGACAAAGUGCUGAACCAGAUGGUGAAGCCAAGGCCUGAAGACCUUUCCUGCAAGGUCGCAGAGGAAGAGGCAGAAGAAGGACCAGAACCCAGCUCCCCUGACUCCCUAUCCAGUGCUCUUCUCAUAGAUUACAUUGCUUCAGCAUCCACCUGGCUAUUGCUCCAUCCAGGGGUUACAGGAGUCACUGACUGUUUUGGUUGCUUCUUGGUUGGAGGAUGUUGUGCCUCACCGAUGAGAGCCGGAAGCAAAGGUACCAGUUCUUAGAGGAAGCAUAGGAAUGUGUCCCUUCCUGCUCGGGUCUCUCAACUGAACUCAACCCUUCCUUGAUUGAUUGACAAGCAUGUUAUCUCUCAUAAUCCCUGCCCGGUAAGGGCUGAUGUCCCCAUUUUACAGAUGAGGAUAUUGGAGCUCAGAGAAGUGAAAUGAUUGCUGAAGGUCACACAGCCUGGCUUCAAGCCUCUCGGGCUCCAAAAGGCAUCUUCUGUUCUCUCCGUCAGGAAGCCUCUUUUGGAUGAUUAACUGAGAUUAAAAAUGAAAAGACACAUGAAAGAAAGGUCCUUUUUUUCAACCUGACAAGAACUAAGAAUGCCUCUGUAUUCCAGGCACCCAGACCAGGGUGGGCUGGAAAGCCAGCCAGAGAGAAAGCAGGAGAAAGAAAGCAUGUUCUAACAGGAAGGUUAAAGCACCCUGGGAUGUGAGUUGGGGUGGAGAAGUGAAGAGGGCAGUUCUCACAGGGGCAGAGCUUGGUUUGGGGUAGGCUAGGAGCUGGGACCAGAAGAGGGACAGGGAAGGGUUUAUUGUGGGUCCACGGCCCAGCUCCACUGCAUGGGCCAUCUGACAGCGCCUGACCGAGCAGAAUGCCAGGGUGUAAAGACCCCACUAAUACCCAGUCAAUGAGAGGAACGCCAGAGGAGCACCCAGAAUGUUCUUGUGCAGAGGCAAAGAGCAGGAGUUUGUGACCACAGCUGGCAGUCCAUGUCAUCCUCACUGAACGACCUCUUAGCAUUCCAGGUGGACAAACAUAUUCACAGGUGCCCAGACAAAUGAGGUCUGCGGGAGAGAGACAGGCUACAUCAGAGGUAGACUAUGUAUUUACAUAAAGUAGGAAUAAGAGUCUCAGAAGCCUUCCAAAGCAGAUGUCUGCUUAAACCUCUUGAGCGGUGCCCUCCUUAGCCUGGAAGGAAGGCCUUGCUCAGGUAGUCUCAACCCGCAUCUGUGGUGUGAUUUAACACCUUCCCCUUCAUUCCACCACACUCUAUCUCAAACUAUCUGUUGUUCUCAAACACACAGAACACUUUCACUCCACCAGCUCUUCCACAUGUGAUUAUCUUUGCAUGUACUUCAUCUUUCUCAUCUACAGCCCCACCUGGCAAACUCCUACUCAGCCUUCAAAACCCUGCCUAAAUGUCACUGAAUCUGGAAGCCUUCUUCAUCUUCUCAGUACACAUUUGUCUGUAUUCCUGAUCCUUUGUCUAUAACUCUGGUAAAUCAUUGAUCCUAGUGCACUGUCAAGAACUUGUCCUAUUUUAUCUGUAGAUUCCCAGAGCCCAAUCAAGAUCCUCACAUGUAGAAAGUAGUAGAUCAAUUAAAUAAAGCAAGCACAGCCAGAAUGGCUGGGAAUUUGAGAGCAUGUGCCCCAGAAUGAUUGUACCUCAGACCUGGAAGAAAAUGUGGAGUUGAUCUAAGUAAACCUGAUGUUUGAACGCCUCAUCUGCAUUCACAGCCUGAGGUAAUAUACAUAAACCACCUAAUCUAGUAACUGGCAGGUAUUAGUCAGUGAAUGGUGGCUGAUAUUUUUGUUUUUGUUGUCAUUUCUUCGGGAAUCAAAAUAGACAUAGAAGAAUUCGCAGAAAGAGCAACAGAUCUGCAGUUGGGGCUGUGGCUCUGCCUCUGAGACUCUCCCUUUAUGACUUUGAACAAGUCAUUUCACCCUCAUGAGGCCUCGAUUUCCUCAUCAAUAGUUUGGGAUACAACUAGGUGUCCUGUAAUUGGUGCCUUUCAGCUCUAAUCAAAACAAAAACAAGACCCAAGCAAACAUCAUCACUGACAGAUCUGAGGGAAUCCAGCUCAGAUCUUCCUGGUGUCAUCUCUGAUCAGAAAUCAGGGAACCAACCCUGACCUUAAUGGCCCUUCUAGGGGUGUGCUCUUCCCCUGGGCAGAGCCAAUCCCCAGGGAAGCAGAAACUCCUACUUGCCAAACUCCUGGCCAGUCACACCCGCUUUGCCAUCCUGGAGAAGGAGGGACUGUUGUGGAGCUUGUGGCAAAAUCCCUCUUCCUCCCCCAAACACAGCUAUGAUUAGCUGUGUCCUCACCACGAAACUGCAGGGGUGUGUGCGGUCACUAUUUACAAUGACCCAGGAGUCUGAUGCCUAAAUGAUACAUUAUCUUCAUGCUCCAGUCUCCCACUGUCUGACUGCCCGGCUCUUCUUUGACGAGAGAUCUCACCGAUUGCGGCCCUUGGCCUUAGGAAGGGUGAUGGGCUGGGCUGGAGGCCUGGGCUGAGCUCUUGGGUGCAGGGGGAGCCUCAGCUUUUCCAGCCCUCAUCCUCAACGGCUGCCUCUGCCAAGGCCCUGGAGCUACAGAAAGCAAGACCAGUGCCUGAGUGCAAUAAAUGCUUUUAUUAGUCCUUUUAUUAAUGACGGUUGGUAUUUGUUGAGAAGCUGGGACAAUAGUUAUUCCAGUAAGAGGAUAUUAAGCUCCCUCAAACAGGCCCUGUAUAUCUAACAGGCUCUGGCCCCCAGCCUCCCCUGACGCAGCUCUGUUACACUGCAGCACACCCCUGGCCUCCCAGCAACUCCAAGAAGGGAGAGGAGGGAUGGGGGAGGUAGGGAUAAUCUGGUGUCAUUAAACACACAGGCCUUUGUGGAGGUUACCGUACACCAACAGCAGGAAGCUUUUUCUUCCUUCUGAGAGCAUAGGGAGCCUAUGUGAUUUUGUUUUUUUUUUGUUUGUUUUGGUUUUUUUGUUUUUUGCUACCCCUGUGCUCCUGGCUAUUUUACCUCCAGAGCUGCUGGUGAUAAGUUGGUAAAGGAGGACCUCCUUAAACCAUUUGUUAAACCAUUUGAGACUGUUCCUAGUACUUGUUUUAAGCUAUUUUACAUGAUUUUUAAUGUAAUAAACACAUUUAUAAUACUAUGUGGUGGCAAUGUUCUGAGUGCUUUUCAAAUACUAAUUUAUUUAAUACUCAUAACGUCUCAAUGAAGUAGGCACUAUACUUAUCCUUAUUUUAUAAAUGAGGAAAUGAGGCCCA
rnacentral:lncRNA from 1 species